CCCUCCAAUCCAAUCAUUUUCUAACUUUUCCGAUAAGAGGUUCACUCCUACCUUGAUGCUAUAUUGUACUAAGUGUUGGUAAAAUCGAACAAGUCCUCAAGACCUCGGAACGUAUACUAUUUAUGCAUUAAGUGGACAAUGCGACUCGACACAUAGUCACGUCGAGGGAAAUACCAAACCAUGUUACACUACUAGAAGCUUUUCGGGGUGUCUCUUGUGAGACCGAGGCCUAUGCCAAGGUUUUUCGGGUUGUCUCUUGAGAGGCCAAGGCCUAUGCAACGAGCGCAAGCCGUGGCCAUGGCAAGAGUUAGGACGUCCUAGGAAAUGGUAGGGCGUGGCCAUGGCAAGGGCUAGGACGUGUCAGUACGUCGCAGGACAUGGCAGGAAACGGGUCGGGACGUGUCAGGACGUCGCAGGACAUGGCAGGGCGUGGCCAUGGCACGAGUCACGACGUCGCAGGACGAGUCAUGACAUGGCCAUGGUACGUGUCAGGACAUGGCCACGGCACGUGUCAGGACGCGUCAGGACAUGGCAGGGCGUGGCCAUGGCAAGAGUUGGGACGUCACAAGACAUGGUAGGGCGUGGCCAUGGCACGAGUCAAGACGUCGC
rnacentral:misc_RNA from 1 species